UGUGUGUGUUGAGAUCAAGAAAACUCGAGCGUUGCCGACGCUCGUUUGCCCUGGCAGGUAUCGCGCGUAGCCUCGGUGGGCGGUGCUGGAACAUUUGGAAACCAGGCGAUAACGUGAAGGUUGGAUUAGCCGAAAGUUUGAACCGCUGAAACCCCAGCUCCAGGCUCUCCACCGCACCCCGCCUGGGAUUUGAUGUACGAGCCGGAAUGACCAUGCGUCCCUCACUCGGCGUCUCGCUAUGUAAUUUGUCUUCAUUGUUGUCGAGCCAAUAUUCAUACUGCUGAUGCUGGAAUGUGAAUGUUAUCGACGGCAACAUGUUAAACAAUCGGAGUAGGACGAUGUACAUGCUUUGUGGAUGAGAUCGGGAUAGACGACGACGAGGAGGAGGAAGAUGAUGGUGGUUUGAAAGAGGGUUAAGAUGAAUUAGUUUUUGCAGAGCCUAUCAUGGGUGUGUUAAUGAGCUUCGGGGAGAGGAGCAGCUUGAACGCUUGAAAGUUGUUCCACAUUAGAGGUAAGUUUUUCGGGGUUUUUCGGUGGGUUUGGGGUUGUUUAUAUGGGAUUGCGCUUCGGAGAUGACGUAGUUGUCUGUAAUUGAUGCUAGUUGAACAAUGUAUUGUUGUGGGAGACUGAUUGAUUCUCACCGGAUGUCCUAUGUUAUUUUAUGUUAUGUGGUUCUCAUAGGUAAUAUGCAUGGUAACAUCGUUGGUUUGCCGAGAAGAGCGUUCUUUCAAGGACUUGAUCGCGAUUCUUUGUUGGGUUUCACAUACUUUUGAUGCUGAAGUGUUUUGUUUGACAAGUGGCGAUAAGUCAAUCUGUCGAAGAUUUUGACCUCGUUGCUUCUUUUGCGUUUCUUGAGAUACAACUGUGUGUAGGGGAAGACUGUUUGGCCAGCGAGAUGUAUGUGGACCAAGAUCUCGUUGAACACAGGGAUCGCAGGGAUAGCAGUGACAGAGAUGGUAUCAAAGAGGAAAUGGCUCAUUUCUAUUCGCCGAAAGCCACCACAAUGAAGACGGAGAUCUUCGCGUCAAAGAUGAAGGAAGACAGCGUAAUGAGGAAAGUGGAAGGCAGAGCAAUAAGAAUUGAGAAAUAAAUCACGGCGACGAUGACGAGUGUUAGUGCAGCGACGUCAGCAAGGGUGGAAAAGAACAUCACAACAAACAUGGGAGAAAACUUGACAAUGAAAAUGGAGAAGAGCACUACAAUGAGUAACACUUUAGCUGUAUACUAAACAUUUUUCUUUUGGAACUUGGAACUGUUAAAGGACGGAGUUGAUUGAAAGAGAAUCGAUUGAUAAACAAUCAUCUAUGAAGGAGUUGACAAUUAUGGGUGGUUUGGGUGAAAAUUCAUUGAACCGGGUUGAGAUUUUUUCUUCUCUUUCUACGAUUGUCCUUUACGGACAUCUUCUGGAGAGUCGAAACAACAGUGUAUGAGCAAGAAAGAUAGAUAUGAGAAGGAUUAGAAAACGCGGAAGCUGAGAUCCCCAACGGAAGUGUAGGGCUAGUAAAAGGCCAACUCUUAGGAAGAUAGUCGAUGGGAAUCUAUCAACGGUUACAAGGUGUUGAAAGCUUCCAACCUUCGCCGACAGAACGAAGGCUAGCUUGAAAGACAAUGUUCAUCUAGUCAGGGCGUACGAAAGGCGGAGAGAAGAAUUUGGAAAGGUCGAAAGUAUCUGGGAUUGGAGGAUCCAUACAAGUAGAAGCAUAAAGAAGUCUCUGAGGCGUAUCUACAGAUGAAAUCAUCGGUGAUCUCCUCUGUGGCUGGUGACGAAUAUUCUUUAGAGGGCAUCAAAGUACGGGAGGUUGUCAAGAGCUCAACAUUUCUACCCGUCCCCUCAGGAACUUGGUUCAAAAGGUUCCAGGUGUUGUUCGCCAUGGAUAGCCUUUAUCACAGAUUCAGAAUGCUGCCAUGUAGAUAAGAGGUUCAGAAUCUGGUGACGCGCCGUUCCUAUCUAUAUUCUGAGUUGAACCUUUUAUGAACCUAAAAGGCGGUUAAUGAGGAUGAGGAUGUUAAUAAUUCCAGGUUUCAUCUCCGAUAAUGGAGCAGCAUUAGGCGAUAGGUCACGCCAUUAUGGUGCUGUUCGUCAAUAAGGAUUGGGUAUAUCUUAGGUAGUCAUAUUUGUAGGAAGCAGCUGCUGCUCUAGAUAAAGACUAUACGCUGAGGCACAGAAACGAAGACCUGGAGCCUGCUGUUUAGCUGGUACGAGGAAACUGUGAAAGUGGCAUUCAUUUAGACGGAAGUUCAGUGAUAGGCAUCCGGUAACAGUAAUCGCUCGCCUUCCAAAAUAGAUUUAGACCUGGAGCUCUGGAAGAUUUGCAUUAUCAUGUGGAUCUCAAGAUUCAGAUCUUCCUCAAGGUGAAUUACCCUCACUUGAAUUUUUCCAGCUUCGUAUAAUGUGCAAAUAGUGGAACCGCCUUACAUCAAACCAGGAUUUUCUGCUUUACUAAUAUCGGCCUCUUCUUAGCCCAUGAUGAUUGGCAAAAAUGUGGUGGCGAACGAUUAAAAAUCUCAUUAAAAAAAUGAGCGUGCAACCAGUGUUCUUGCUUGUGUGAAAGACUCGUGCCAGUAGGAGAAGGUGUACUCAUGUACGCAAUUGCCAACGAUUUUAUGACCCCGAUGCUGGAGAAUAAUCGGUGCUAAAACAUGGAGGCAUUGAUUGAGGGAACAAUCAUUGAAGCGUGACAUCUGAGGCCGUGGAUAUCACCGGCGCGUCAGCAGGUGCCGAAUCUCCUCUCUGCAUGCGUGUGAUUCCAAGUUCUCCAUGUUUUUCGCAAGAUUCCGAAAACAGCACCUAGAAUCUUUACGUCACGGUUCUUGUCCAAGCCACCCGAAAUUUCGUUGGUAUCCAGGAGGGCCACGGUGCACCCUCGCUCAUUGUGGAAGACGCACAAAACCUGCUGUGAGCUCCAACUCCAAGCUGCCAGACCCCAAGACGAUUUCUCCCUUUCGCGUGCAAAUUACACUAACCUUGGCAACAACUCGAUCGAAUGAACCUCUUCCACUGGACGCAAGAGAGGUCCAAGUCCUCUGCAAAUAGCCGAUACUAUCUGCUCGAUAUCAAUGCCCACCUAGGGCUCGUGGUGCGAACUCUAGAAACAAUUGAACAUGCUUUGUCUGGCCGUUACUUUUCUCAAGGUGUGAAACAGGUUCUUAAUUGGAAUUUUGAGAGACGAACUGACGGCAUUCUUACACCUUAGUGCAAAUGAUCCUGGUAUGUAAGAACAUCUAGUUUAGUAAUAGUUCACAGUUUCCAAGCGUGACUCUCGAGUCAGAACUGAAUACUACUUCCUGGCCCCAUCUGGAGCAAUGUUUCAGAGAACAUUACACGACUUACGCCACGUUGAAGCACGCGAAGAGGAGCAAAUAUUUGUACAAGCAUCAGUACAAAAGUAUAUACCAUUUUCUUGGAUAUUGUUGCAGGGAAUUAGAUCAAUGAAUGUCGUGCAGAAGUGGUUCCUGUAUACUUUCAUGUCUAUUGUAAAGUUGCAUGAUGACCUAUAAUCCAGUGAAGAAAAGCAUUAA